rnacentral:misc_RNA from 1 species
AAGUCGUAACAAGGUUUCCGUAGGUGAACCUGCGGAAGGAUCAUUAUUGAAUGAACUUGGAGUCGGUUGUCGCUGGCUGUCUUAUUUGGCAGCAUGUGCACGCCUUCUCUUUUCAUCCACACACACCCCUGUGCACUUGUGAGACUGGAGACCGGUAAAAAAAAGUCUUCAGUCUGCUAAAUCCAUAUACAAACCCAUUUAAUUGAACUGAAUGUAAAUUGAUGUAACGCAUCUUUAAACUAAGUUUCAACAACGGAUCUCUUGGCUCUC